UGCUGCGGCCGUCGCCCUAUAAUUCCUCGUUAUAGGAAUUUGAGGGAAGGGGGUCGUUACCUGACGGGACGGAUGAUCCGGUAGGUGCCCGAAGGAGCCGCCCGCCCCGAGUAGUGAACCGUUUACGUUUGGAAGUCCUUGGCUUUCAACUUUUCCAAUUCUGAUGAAUGGCAUUUCUGACAUGUCAAAAUGAAACUGCUGCUUGGCUUAAUGACAUGGGGCCCGACUUUACAACGUUAGUCUCCUGUAUGGUCCUAGUUCUGCUUACUGCCCAGAGCAACACAGCGCUUCAUCAGAGGUAAAAUGGAUGUGCCUGCCCUCCCUGGGGGCUCCCCUCAUCUACCAGACCGUGAGCCCGUUGUUGGACAGGGAUUGUCUCUAUCU